GAUGAACGCUGGCGGCGUGCCUAAUACAUGCAAGUCGAGCGAACAGACGAGGAGCUUGCUCCUCUGACGUUAGCGGCGGACGGGUGAGUAACACGUGGAUAACCUACCUAUAAGACUGGGAUAACUUCGGGAAACCGGAGCUAAUACCGGAUAGCAUGUUGAACCGCAUGGUUCAACAGUGAAAGACGGUCUUGCUGUCACUUAUAGAUGGAUCCGCGCCGCAUUAGCUAGUUGGUAAGGUAACGGCUUACCAAGGCAACGAUGCGUAGCCGACCUGAGAGGGUGAUCGGCCACACUGGAACUGAGACACGGUCCAGACUCCCACGGGAGGCAGCAGUAGGGAAUCUUCCGCAAUGGGUGAAAGCCUGACGGAGCAACGCCGCGUGAGUGAAGAAGGUCUUCGGAUCGUAAAACUCUGUUAUUAGGGAAGAACAAAUGUGUAAGUAACUAUGCACGUCUUGACGGUACCUAAUCAGAAAGCCACGGCUAACUACGUG
rnacentral:rRNA from 1 species